rnacentral:rRNA from 1 species
GGAAUCUUCCACAAUGGACGAAAGUCUGAUGGAGCAACGCCGCGUGAGUGAUGAAGGUUUUCGGAUCGUAAAACUCUGUUGUAAGGGAAGAACAGGCAUGAGAGGUAAUGCUCAUGCUAUGACGGUACCUUGCGAGAAAGCCACGGCUAACUACGUGCCAGCAGCCGCGGUAAUACGUAGGUGGCAAGCGUUGUCCGGAAUUAUUGGGCGUAAAGCGCGCGCAGGCGGCCUUUUAAGUCUGAUGUGAAAGCCCCCGGCUCAACCGGGGAGGGUCAUUGGAAACUGGAAGGCUUGAGUACAGAAGAGAAGAGUGGAAUUCCAUGUGUAGCGGUGAAAUGCGUAGAGAUGUGGAGGAACACCAGUGGCGAAGGCGACUCUUUGGUCUGUAACUGACGCUGAGGCGCGAAAGCGUGGGGAGCAAACAGGAUUAGAUACCCUGG